GUAGGUGGCAAGCGUUGUCCGGAAUUAUUGGGCGUAAAGCGCGCGCAGGCGGUUCUUUAAGUCUGAUGUGAAAGCCCACGGGCUCAACCGUGGAGGGUCAUUGGAAACUGGAGAACUUGAGUACAGAAGAGGAAAGCGGAAUUCCACGUGUAGCGGUGAAAUGCGUAGAGAUGUGGAGGAACACCAGUGGCGAAGGCGGCUUUCUGGACUGUAACUGACGCUGAGGCGCGAAAGCGUGGGGAGCAAACAGGGUUAGAUACCCUGGUAGUCCACGCCGUAAACGAUGAGUGCUAAGUGUUAGGGGGUUUCCGCCCCUUAGUGCUGCAGCUAACGCAUUAAGCACUCCGCCUGGGGAGUACGACCGCAAAGGUUGA
rnacentral:rRNA from 1 species